rnacentral:rRNA from 1 species
GACGAACGCUGGCGGCGUGCUUAACACAUGCAAGUCGAACGGAAAGGCCCUGCGUUUGUGGGGUGCUCGAGUGGCGAACGGGUGAGUAACACGUGAGUAACCUGCCCUUGACUGUGGGAUAACUUCAGGAAACUGGGGCUAAUACCGGAUAGGAGCUCCUGCUGCAUGGUGGGGGUUGGAAAGUUUCGGCGGUUGGGGCUGGACUCGCGGCUUAUCAGCUUGUUGGUGGGGUAGUGGCUUACCAAGGCUUUGACGGGUAGCCGGCCUGAGAGGGUGACCGGCCACAUUGGGACUGAGAUACGGCCCAGACUCCUACGGGAGGCAGCAGUGGGGAAUAUUGCACAGUGGGCGGAAGCCUGAUGCAGCAACGCCGCGUGCGGGAUGACGGCCUUCGGGUUGUAAACCGAUGUCGCCUGUGACGAAGAGUGAGUGACGGUAAUGGGUAAAGAAGCACCGGCUAACUACGUG